CCAGAGUGUCCAUCCCAAUGGUCCGCAUACUGGCCACAGUCCUGGUGCUGCUGAGCCUUCUGUCAGCCUCAGGCCUGAUGGCCUUCAGCAGCCACCUGCUCCUGUGGAGAAAGGAAGCUCGACAGGCCAUGGAGACACAGAGGAACGAGAAGGUCUACCUCUCACACUUGAACUCCCUGAUGUUUUCUCUGAGUCUUCCUUGGCUCUGAGACCAAGGUGACAUGGCUGCCCUAGGACUCAGGCUGAGGGUGGUGCUCUGGGGACCAGGGACAAGAGAAUAAGGGUCCCUGUGCCCAUUGUCUGGAGCAGGGAACCUGCCCCAAGGCUACUGCUGCAAGAAGAGACUGUGCCCUCCGAGGCCAGCACUCCAAUGGAGGGGGCUGCAGCAUCACACUUUAGGAAACAGAAGCCUCCCCUGGCCCCUCCUCCCUCCGCUGUUUACUGAGAUGCCUCCACUCCAUUCCUUUAAACACAAGGACAGGAAAGCGGGGCUACCACUACCUUCUUUCCUGGCGCCAGUGAGGACAAAAGACUCAGGCCUGGUUCCCCCAAGGAUGGUCUGGGGUGGAAAUGGGACUUUGGGCUGUGGCUUAGGAAGCAGCUGUGGUUGUGUCA